UGGACCGUCAGCUUAUUGGCCAUUCUAAAUUAUAUAUAUAAAAAUAAUAAGCUACUAAGAUAAACAGUAAAGAUUGCUUGAAAUUAACUUACAAUAACAGCGCACCUGGGCGAAAAAGACCGGUCGUGAUUCUGGCACCGCAUCCGCGCCUCAUUUGCAUGCAAAGGGUUAAUUCUUUUCGAUUAUUUGAGCUCACGCAUAUUUUUAAUUAUUCAAGGGUCGCCCUAUAAUGUAUGCACUUUUUAAAUGUCGCAAUAUUUUUUUCUCAUAAAGAUUCAGUCUAUCAUUGAUAUUAGUGGAGAGUGAACCUCUCCUGAGGUUAAAGAAAGUAAACAUGACAUUUAUUUUAAAAUGUAGUACUUUUUAAUGUUUUUUUUUUUUUUAAGUGAACAAAUAAUGUAUUUAAAAUAAGAAUAUCAGAAAGUGAUCAACCUGGAGUGUACCAAAUCAAGAGUAGUGAUGUACCAACGGCCAUGCAUCACGGAUAAUGAUUGGAUUUGCCCCGCCUACGUCAUCAAUCACUAGAAACGAGUGACGCCGAGUGGGUGGCAAGUUGUACCAGCGUGUGCAAACGCGGUGAAUUUGAAAUCGGAAUGUUUUCGGUGUGUUAGAAUUCGAAAUAUAAAAUUUGGAAUUUUUAUAUUAAAAUGACCGAUAUAGACCGAAGGAUAAGCAAGUUGUAUGAAGAAAAAAAAAAAAACAUGGUCCUACGCGAUUGCUCGUAUGCAAAAGUUUCAAAUUACUCAGCGAGCUUUGGAGAGGACUUUUUUUUUGUGGGUGAUAAUGAAAUAAUAACCCCACCCGCGCUAUCGGUUUACAUCGGCGGGACACCAGUGAAGGAUGAUAGAUGAGGAUGA